UGAACGCUGGCGGCAUGCUUUACACAUGCAAGUCGAACGGUAACAGCACUUCGGUGGCUGACGAGUGGCGAACGGGUGAGUAAUACAUCGGAACGUGCCUAGUAGUGGGGGAUAACUACUCGAAAGAGUAGCUAAUACCGCAUGAGAUCUAAGGAUGAAAGCAGGGGACCUUCGGGCCUUGCGCUACUAGAGCGGCUGAUGGCAGAUUAGGUAGUUGGUGGGAUAAAAGCUUACCAAGCCGACGAUCUGUAGCCGGUCUGAGAGGACGACCAGCCACACUGGGACUGAGACACGGCCCAGACUCCUACGGGAGGCAGCAGUGGGGAAUUUUGGACAAUGGGCGCAAGCCUGAUCCAGCAAUGCCGCGUGCAGGAUGAAGGCCUUCGGGUUGUAAACUGCUUUUGUACGGAACGAAAAGCCCUCUUCUAAUACAGGAGGGUCAUGACGGUACCGUAAGAAUAAGCACCGGCUAACUACGUG
rnacentral:rRNA from 1 species